rnacentral:rRNA from 1 species
AGCGUCCCUGAUGAACCUCGUUGUGCUAACCACCUGAACUGACUGAUGUCUUCGGACGGAUGUCGGGGAGGCUGGGAACCUGAUGGGUAGUAGUCAAGCGAUGGGGUGACGCAGGAAGGUAGCUGAGCCCGGCCGGUGGUUGUGCCGGGGUAAGCGUGUAGGCCGUGUUGUAGGCAAAUCCGCAACACAUUUAAGGCUGAGACGUGAUGCCGAGCCGAUUCAGGUGAAGUCAGUGAUCCUAUGCUGCCGAGAAAAGCCUCUAGCGAGUUCUUAGCGGCCCGUACCCCAAACCGACACAGGUGGUCAGGUAGAGAAUACCGAGGCGAUCGGGCGAACUGUGGUUAAGGAACUCGGCAAAUUGCCCCCGUAACUUAGGGAGAAGGGGGGCCGGAGACGUGAAGCCCCGCGCGGGUGGAGCGUUGUAUGGCCGCAGAGAGCAGGGGGAAGCGACUGUUUACUAAAAACACAGGUCCAUGCGAAGAAGUAAUUCGAUGUAUAUGGACUGACGCCUGCCCGGUGCUGGAACGUUAAGGGGACCUGUUAGCUCUUCGGGGCGAAGCGGAGAACUUAAGCGCCAGUAAACGGCGGUGGUAACUAUAACCAUCCUAAGGUAGCGAAAUUCCUUGUCGGGUAAGUUCCGACCUGCACGAAUGGCGUAACGACUUCCCCACUGUCUCAACCACAGGCCCGGCGAAAUUGCAGUACGAGUAAAGAUGCUCGUUACGCGCGGCAGGACGGAAAGACCCCGGGACCUUUACUAUAGCUUGACAUUGGUACUCGAAUUAGCUUGUGUAGGAUAGGUGGGAGCCGGUGAAGUCCAUACGCCAGUAUGGGUGGAGGCAAUCUUGAAAUACCACUCUGGUUGAUUUGGGUAUCUAACUUCGGACCGUUAUCCGGUUCAGGGACAGUGUCUGGUGGGUAGUUUAACUGGGGCGGUUGCCUCCUAAAAGGUAACGGAGGCGCCCAAAGGUUCCCUCAGCCUGGUUGGCAAUCAGGUGUUGAGUGCAAGUACACAAGGGAGCUUGACUGUGAGACUGACAGGUCGAGCAGGGACGAAAGUCGGGACUAGUGAUCCGGCACUUGCGAGUGGAAGCGGUGUCGCUCAACGGAUAAAAGGUACCCCGGGGAUAACAGGCUGAUCUUCCCCAAGAGUCCAUAUCGACGGGAUGGUUUGGCACCUCGAUGUCGGCUCGUCGCAUCCUGGGGCUGUAGCAGGUCCCAAGGGUUGGGCUGUUCGCCCAUUAAAGCGGUACGCGAGCUGGGUUUAGAACGUCGUGAGACAGUUCGGUCCCUAUCCGCCGUGCGCGUAGGAUACUUGAGAAGGGCUGUCCCUAGUACGAGAGGACCGGGACGGACGAACCUCUGGUGUGCCAGUUGUCCUGCCAAGGGCACGGCUGGUUAGCUACGUUCGGAAGGGAUAACCGCUGAAAGCAUCUAAGCGGGAAGCCUGCUUCAAGAUGAGGUAUCCCACCCACCUUGGUGGGGUAAGGCCCCCAGCUAGACGACUGGGUUGAUAGGCCGGAAAUGUAAGCCCGGUAACGGGUUCAGUUGACCGGUACUAAUAGGCCGAGGACUUGACUACU